rnacentral:lncRNA from 1 species
AUCCCAGCUACUUAGGAGGCUGAGGUGGAAGGAUCACCUGAGCCUGGGAGGUCCAGGCUGUAGUGAGAUCACGCCACUGCAGCCUGGGUGACACCCAGCCCAGCCUGGGUGACAGAGACCCCCAUCUCAAGAAAAAGAAAAAGAAAUGGACCCCUGUGGUCUUGGCAGCUGAGCUUUGGUUUCUGGGUAAUGUUCCUGUCCUGCUGUCUUGGUCCUUGCUCUGUAAAGUCUCAUAUCCUCCCCUUGACUUUCAUUAUCUUUGAUCCUUGGCCCAUGACCUUGCAGUACAUAUCUGGGCUUGCAUACCUGCGCCAUGCCUUAGAGAUCCUCUGUGGUGUGCAGGUGCUUGCUUCCUACUUGCAGUCUGUGUUCUGGUCUCAGUCAUAGGUGCUCUUGUCCCUGCAGGGUUCUUUCCAACCUGGACAAAGGGACCUUGAAGCUGCUGGCUGAGAAUGAGCGGCUGCUGUGCUUCUCACCAGCUCUGCAAGGCCGCCUUCGAGCUGCCUAUGAGGGCAGUGUUGCCAAGGUAGUAACCCCAGCUUAGUUGCCCACUAGCCUGGACCUAACCCUUCCUAGCUUUCAUAAAUUCAGGCAACCCUGCUGACGACACUUCAGUGUAAUGUGAGCUAACUCUGGGCAAGAAUAAGAGGGAGAAGUUUUCUCAGCAUGACCCUGCAGUUCCUAACGUUCCUGCUGUAUUUUAGGUCUCUCUGGUGAUGCCUCCCUCUACUCAAGCUGUCUCCUUUCAGCCAGAGACUGACAAUCGUGCCAACUUCUCCAGUGACCGAGCCUUUCAUACUUUUAAGAAACAGAGGUGCUGCGAGAGUGGGAAGAUCACCAUGAGGAGCCUGGCUGGGAUUUUGAGAAGGGCUUGGGCAGCAGAAUCAGGGCCAUGAUGGGUCAGCUCUCCGCAGCCUGCA